GCCCGGAUGGUGAAACCGGUAGACACAUGGGACUUAAAAUCCCAGGGCGAAAGCCGUGCGGGUUCGAGUCCCGCUCCGGGUA
rnacentral:tRNA from 1 species